GCGGAUACAGUCUGUGUGAUCCUGAGCCCGGGUGUGCAGGUGGAAGCUGUGUGAUCCUGAGCCCAGGUGUGCGGAUACAGUCUGUGUGAUCCUGAGCCCAGGUGUGCAGGUGGAAGCUGUGUGAUCCUGAGCCCAGGUGUGCGGAUACAGUCUGUGUGAUCCUGAGCCCGGGUGUGCAGGUGGAAGCUGUGUGAUCCUGAGCCCAGGUGUGCGGAUACAGUCUGUGUGAUCCUGAGCCUGGGUG